GUUAGGAAUAUUGGACAAUGGGCGCAAGCCUGAUCCAGCCAUGCCGCGUGAGUGAUGAAGGCCUUCGGGUUGUAAAGCUCUUUAGUCCACGAAUAUAAUGACUGUAGUGGAAGAAUAAGCCCCGGCUAACUUCGUGUCAGCAGCCGCGGUAAUACGAAGGGGGCGAGCGUUAUUCGGAAUCACUGGGCGUAAAGCGUGCGUAGGCUGUUUUGUAAGUCAGAAGUGAAAGCCCAGGGCUUAACCCUGGAAUUGCUUUUGAAACUACAAGACUCGAAUUCGGGAGAGGAUAGCGGAAUUGUCAGUGUAGCAGUGAAAUGCGUAGAUAUUGGAAGGAACACCAGUGGCGUAAGCGGCUAUCUGGACGAGUAUUGACGCUGAGGCACGAAAGCGUGGGGAUCAAACAGGAUUAGAUACCCUUGUAGUCC
rnacentral:rRNA from 1 species